CAACCCUCAAGCUCUGCUUGGUAUUGGGCCUCACCCGUUAGGGCGUGCCUUAAAAUCAGUGGCGGUGCCAUCUGGCUCUAAGCGUAGUAAUUUUUCUCGCUAUAGGGUCCUGUGGACGCUUGCCAGCAACCCCAAUUUUUCUAU
rnacentral:misc_RNA from 1 species